rnacentral:lncRNA from 1 species
UGGGCUAAUUAUGCUUAGGUUAGGUUUGGGCUAGGGGUUUUGGUUAACUGUUUAAUGGACUGUUAAUGGGCUUUGAAUUUAUAUUUAGAAUUUAUUUUUUAUUUAUGCGGGCUCGGGCCAAAAUUGGGCCUUACAGUUAUGAUAGGCUAGACGAGGUUGGGAGGUAAAUCAAACCGAAUAAAUCGUAAUUUAUACUGGUUGAGAAAGUGAAGUUAGGAAAUAAGCGAGUAUCAACCAAUCUAUUAGUUAAUUAGAGGUUGGGAUGUAG